CCUACGGGAGGCAGCAGUGGGGAAUCUUGCGCAAUGGGCGAAAGCCUGACGCAGCAACGCCGCGUGCGGGAAGAAGGCUCUCGGGUUGUAAACCGCUUUCAGCAGGAACGAAAAUGACGGUACUUGCAGAAGAAGGUGCGGCCAACUACGUGCCAGCAGCCGCGGUGACACGUAGGCACCAAGCGUUGUCCGGAUUUAUUGGGCGUAAAGAGCUCGUAGGCGGUUCGGUAAGUCAGGUGUGAAAACUUUGGGCUCAACCCAAAGCCUGCAUCUGAUACUGCUGUGACUAGAGUUCGGUAGGGGAGCGGGGAAUUCCUAGUGUAGCGGUGAAAUGCGCAGAUAUUAGGAGGAACACCGGUGGCGAAGGCGCCGCUCUGGGCCGAAACUGACGCUGAGGAGCGAAAGCGUGGGUAGCAAACAGGAUUAGAUACCCUGGUAGUCCACGCCGUAAACGUUGGGGUCGACGUAGGUAGGUGGUUACGUAACCGAACCGAAACGUACCGCCGCCGUCCGCGUACGACAUUAAGUACGUCCCGCCGUCGGGUAGGUACGGCCGCGAACGUUAAACGUACGAAAGUAGAAGUUAGACGGCGUGUAGACGUUGCGACGGACGACGACGAGGGAGGAGG
rnacentral:rRNA from 1 species